UACGAGCUAGAGGACAGUUUGCAAAUGUUAGUAAGGAGGUGAGGUCUGUACGAAAUUGCGCACAUAGUCCCUUAGACCAAGAUCUAAAUCGAUCAAAAUUAAAAUCAUUACAUACACCUUUUCUUCAAAUAUGAAAAAAAAAGAAAGAAAAUAGAGAAGGGAGAUGGUAAGAGGAACACCAUUUGUUGUUGUGCUAAAUCCACAAAUACUCACACAAUAGCGCUAAAUAGAUUAUUGAGUAAAUCAACGCCCAAACACCAAGCAAGUAGAUAAUCAAAAGCAAUAGUGAAGAGAGACACGAAAUUUACUUGGUACGGCGUAAAGCCUAUGUGCACGGAUGGUAGAUAAUGUUUGCACUAUGUUGGGGAAGAUAAAACAUAGUAGAGAAUCCACCAAUGCAACAAGAUCAAGCCCUUAGAGCUCUCUCUCACUCACAAAAGGUGUAUUCUGUAAAACCCCAGACUUUUGUAAGGGGGUAAUUGGAAUUGCUUUAAAACAAGAGGGGUUAAAUUGGAAAAGAGAAAACUUUAGGGUUAUAAUUGAAAUUCUUAAAUAAAUAAAUAAACACCUAAACCUAGUAUGCGGUAUUUAUACCCCACUUUCUUGUCUUGAACCAAAACCUAAUACUUUGUUGCCGCACCAUUAAGAAAAGAAAAGAAAACUUACCGACCUCCACAUCCGAUCCUCCCUUGUCUCCGUCAACCUGCCUUUCGUUCCGAGCUAUCCUGUGAUAUCGAAAUGGAAUCGAAGAGGCAUAGCAGCAGCACAUCUAUACAUAUACGUUAUGUGUGCCGGAGCUAGAUAUAUCCUAUCAUGAACUCAAAUCGCAGACCUACAGUCGCGUAUGACCAACAAGGCCUAGUCUUUGCCGUGGCAAUGGAAGGUCAAAAUUUUCUCUGAUGGCAUGGAUACACAUGUUCGGACAUGGACCUAAGGACUGCAUGGAGUGAAAGUGCAGGCAUGGAAGGGCGAAAGUUGCGAGCCACCAUCACAGUGAUGAUAGAGAUCUGAUGUCGUGGACAAGCAAUUAAGGAGCUGUCCACAAUGGGUUAGUCCAACACCACAAAACCUUAUGGACAAGUGGCCAUCGGGAUCCCAACGUUGGUCAUGAGGGGAUCAAGGAGACGUGGUAGACACUGUAGAAGCGUACGUUAUUGUGCACUGCUAUCGAGGCAAGUCCGGAGAUGACAACCAGUUUUUGAGGCGUGCGCGGUUUUCCAUGGAUACAGUUGUGGUUUAUGGGUAGCGUAGGGUUUGAUUAUUAAAGACUUCCGCUUUGUUACAUUUUAAAGACAUAUUAAUUAUGUAUUAAUGGAUUUCUAAAUACAUUUUAAUCAUUUUUGGGAUUAUAUUAAAUGAUUUUUAGAGGAUUUGCAUAGGUA